ACUCCUACGGGAGGCAGCAGUGAGGAAUAUUGGUCAAUGGGCGCAAGCCUGAACCAGCCAUGCCGCGUGCAGGAUGACGGUCCUAUGGAUUGUAAACUGCUUUUGUACGGGAAGAAACACUCCUUCGUGAAGGAGCUUGACGGUACCGUAAGAAUAAGGAUCGGCUAACUCCGUGCCAGCAGCCGCGGUAAUACGGAGGAUCCAAGCGUUAUCCGGAUUUAUUGGGUUUAAAGGGUCCGUAGGCGGAUUAAUAAGUCAGUGGUGAAAUCCCAUCGCUUAACGAUGGAACUGCCAUUGAUACUGUUAGUCUUGAAUGAGGGUGCAGUGGUUGGAAUGUGUAGUGUAGCGGUGAAAUGCAUAGAUAUUACACAGAACACCGAUUGCGAAGGCAGAUCACUAACCCUAAAUUGACGCUGAGGGACGAAAGCGUGGGGAGCAAACAGGAUUAGAUACCCUGGUAGGAUAG
rnacentral:rRNA from 1 species